GGAAGUGCCCCAGCCGCCACAUUGGAAAGGCCAGGUCACAGCUGACGGGCGAAGUUACCAGUUCACUUUCCACUGGCCUCUUUAGCCUCAGGCACUCAAGUUACUGUUGCUGUGCUGUUUUCGUCUUCUAAAUUAUUAUUUUUGCACGUGUAAGAUGCCCGGGUGCACUGCUUGGAAGUGUUCUAGUCGAGGAACACCGAGGAAGAGAAGAGAGGCUUUACUUUUCACAAGUUCCCACUUGGAGAUCCAGACAGAUCAAAGAGGUGGUUGGCAAACAUGAGGAGGGAAGGAUUUUCAGCCCACCAGGAAUACGGUGAUUUGCUCUGCUCACUUCGAUGACAAGUGUUUUGACAGAACAGACCAGACUGUUCGAUUGAGACCUGAUGCUGCACCCACCCUGUUCGAUUGAGACCUGAUGCUGCCCCCACCCUGUUUGAUUUUCCACCCCAUCUCCAGAAGACACCUGUACUGUAAAGCCAAGGCGUCAUGCUGAACGCAGAACCGUCACUCCGUGGCUCAGCCAGAAGCUACUUCCAGUGCUGAUCAAGAGGAGGCUGGAGAGAGUGUGGGUCCAUCUUCAGUCAUCAGUGACGACCAUAGUUAUGCGACUGUAUGUGUAUGUGCUCAUUUUGUAACGAUGUGUAAGCGUGCGCGUGUGAUAUAAGCAAGUAGACGUUGGUGUGUGUGUGUGUCGCGUGCGUGAAUAUUGUUCAUACAUUGUAUACAUGUAUGCGUGCUGAAAAACUUGGCGAUACUGGCUGUGGUUCUCAUUGUGUGUGUGUGUGUGGCGUGCGUGAAUAUUGUUCGUUCAUGCAGUUAUG